rnacentral:rRNA from 1 species
UACGUAGGUGGCAAGCGUUGUCCGGAUUUACUGGGCGUAAAGAGCGCGCAGGCGGUUGUGCAAGUCGCGUGUGAAAGCCCCCGGCUCAACUGGGGAGGGUCACGCGAUACUGCUCGACUUGAAGGCAGGAGAGGUAAGUGGAAUUCCCGGUGUAGUGGUGAAAUGCGUAGAUAUCGGGAGGAACACCAGUGGCGAAGGCGACUUCCUGGCCUGUUCUUGACGCUGAGGCGCGAAAGCUAGGGUAGCAAACGGG